rnacentral:rRNA from 1 species
AACGAACGCUGGCGGCAGGCUUAUCACAGGCAAGUCGAACGCAUCCUUCGGGGUGAGUGGCAGACGGGUGAGUAACGCGUGGGAACGUGCCCUUCAGUUCGGGAUAACCCAGGGAAACUUGGGCUAAUACCGGAUACGUGCGAGAGCAGAAAGAUUUAUCGCUGAAGGAUCGGCCCGCGUCUGAUUAGCUAGUUGGUGGGGUAAUGGCCCACCAAGGCGACGAUCAGUAGCUGGUCUGAGAGGAUGAUCAGCCACAUUGGGACUGAGACACGGCCCAAACUCCUACGGGAGGCAGCAGUGGGGAAUAUUGGACAAUGGGCGCAAGCCUGAUCCAGCCAUGCCGCGUGAGUGAUGAAGGCCUUAGGGUUGUAAAGCUCUUUCGUCCGGGACGAUAAUGACGGUACCGGAAGAAGAAGCCCCGGCUAACUUCGUGCCAGCCGCCGCAGUAA